GGACUACAAGGGUAUCUAAUCCCGUUUGCUCCCCUGGCUUUCGCGCCUCAGCGUCAGUAGAGGUCCAGCGCGCCGCUUUCGCCACCGGUGUUCCUUCCGAUAUCUACGCAUUUCACCGCUCCACCGGAAGUUCCGCACGCCCCUACCUCCCUCCAGACGGCCAGUAUCAAAGGCACUUUUCCGGUUGAGCCGAAAGAUUUCACCCCUGACUUGACCGCCCGCCUACGCGCCCUUUAAGCCCAGUGAUUCCGAACAACGUUUGCACGGUUCGUCUUACCGCGGCUGCUGGCAC
rnacentral:rRNA from 1 species